UCUCUGUGUUUAUGUCCUGCCUGCAUCGUCUGCGACUGUUACACGGCUUGUCUGGAGCGCACAGCCCUCCUCUCGCUGUGACAGAGGUCAGUGAGUGCUCCGAGCCGCGGCUGACGUCAUGCUGCUGCAACCCCACAGACACACCAGCAGGCAGGCAGGCAGGCAGGCAGACGGACGGACAGGCCAACAGACAAACCAACGAGCAGACUGGGAGUAUUUAUAGUCUCACUCUGCCUAUGAGUCCUCACAGCGAGCGGUAGUGGGCCAAUCAGGUUGACUUUGAAACGGAUCGUGGGUGAUUAGCCGGGAAUGCUGGGAGAAUGCCGAGGUCUCUCUGGUGAACCCCGCAGCUGGUGCCGGAGUCAGCGGAGCAACGAUCCAGCCGAUGCAAAUGAGGCCAGGAGAGCGUCGCCUCUGUAACAUAUGCGGCUCCUCAUUUGCCGCCGGGGCCACUGAGCUGAGGACAGGGGGCGGGGCCGCUCCUCACAUCAGAAUGGUAAUUCUCCAAUCAGCGAGGUGACAUGCUCGGCAAAAGAGAAAGGAGAGCCACGCGACGCUGACAGGGGACAUCAGUUUCACGAAACAUUUCCUCCUCUGCACCUGAAAGCGCGGCGUAAUCACGCGCAGGGGCGAUGCACCAUGAAAUGGAAUGGGCGCCCAGAUCCGGGGGAGCGGACACAGCGCCGUGUCCACAGAAAUGAGGGUCAUUCUUUACCCCGAGAUGCCAGUGUCAGUUGAAAAGGCCCCGCAGGCCCAGGUCAGAGAGUCUUACGGGCAGCUUUAUGAAACUGCUCCACGUCAAACUUUCAUUUUUCACUUUGGAAGAUUCGCAGAUGUGUUUAA